ACAGAUGCAACGUCUCUCAACCACCUCUCCUAAACACAUGCCGGCCAACCCAAACCCUAGCUUCAUCCCUCCCGGUGUCCCGCGACAAAGACCCCAACCCCUCCCUCUCCCCCGAUCCCACCUGUGUGCUCUCCCCCGAUCCCACCUCGCCCCCGGCCGGCGCGGCCUCCGCUCCACCAACCCCACCGGUGACCUGCUACUCCACCGCUGGCCCACGGCAGAUCCAUCCUAGCAGCAGAUCCACCCCUACCCCGUAGCCAUGGCAGGGGGAUCCCGAAACCCUACCCCGUGGCAGUUCCUGGAGCAUCCCUUCAACGCACUCGGGGCGCUCCUCCUCGCGCUCUCCCUAGCGGGCCAGCUCCUCGAGCGCAUCUCUUGUCUCCUCACCAACCACGGCGUCGGCCGCCGGCUCCUCGAGCGCACCUCUUGUCUCCUCACCAACCACGGCAUUGGCCGCUGGCUCCAUCAUCUCCAAUAGGGCCGGUUCUAGAACUGGGACAAGAUCCGCAAAUGCGUCCACGACGGCAAGGUCUGCUAGAGGUUCUGGGCCAGUAGAGAGUCACCUCACCGGUUCGUCACCAACAAUACCUCCCCGAUUCAGCUCGCCUUCCGGGAGAAGGACCAUCUAUAGAUGUGGCAACGCAGCGGCGACAACCAGACCGACCUACUCCUUCUCCUCCCACGGUGACAACCAGGGAUUGGGCUGCUGGUUAUUGAGCCACUGCCGAGUGCAUCGACACAAAUGCUAGGUUCUGGUGAUGUUGUGGUUGUGGUGGUUUCCUCUAGCGAUGGUGCUGACAUCCAGGGAUGCUAUGGUGGACUGGUGGUGGUGCUGUCCACCGGAGCUCCUGCUGCCGGUGUCCAUGUUGCUAAGCUGCUCCUGCGGGCGUUGACUACAACAUGAUGCCACUUCUUUCUUCAACUCGGCGGUUCUCCUAGCAGAAAUUGAUUCAUUUUCCAAAUAGGAGGAACCUGUCUGUUUCACCCUUGUGGUUCUGAACUUCAGAACCUCUAUGAACAUUGGUUCGUAAUGUUUGCUUUCUUAUUUUGGCUGCUACUUCAGCACUCCCGGGUGCAUUUAUUUUAGGUGUGAGCACUCGACUUUAGUUGUGCCUUUUCAGGUUUAAGUCCAUUGGUAUAAAUAAAUUUCUAAUUUGAUAAUGUUCGCCCUCAACAGCAACACAUAAUGAUGAUCACAUUAGCUUUUUUGAACACUCAAAUCAACUUCAAUGCUUUAGAAUCUUCUUCGUUUGCCAUUACAUACAUACAUACCCUGAUGGUCGUUGUCAUGUUUGUUUGCUCGUGCAUGCACAAAAGGCUAGCAACUGAAUGAUGCUAGCUACUUCAACUUUGGUUCUAUUUAAUUCAUACCAUAAUAUUUUCUUGCUCUUGCUGCAUCAUGGAUUGCAUGGAAUGAAUGGUGUUUCACUUUGUACCUUACCUAAAUCCUACUUUCUCUUACCCCCUCAUUAUUUAUUGCUCGAUUAGUUGCAACAGACACCCUCCAUCGAUGUCCGGGACACAACGCAACUGGAGCUGAGUAGACCUUGGCCCCGACGGCAGCAUCGACCAUAACGACGCCCUGCGCAAGUCGAUUCAUGUAAGAGGGCGACCGUUUAAGACAUGUUGUCAUUCUAUUAUCCCAGUCCUGACUAUGGCUGUCAAUGAGUCGAACAUUUGAUCGCUAUCGAAGGAGCUCCAUGCUGAAGAAGAAAACACUUGUAGAGCUUGUAACUCUUAUUACACUUGCAAAGCUUGUAAAAUAUUGUAUAUGUUACAUCUUGUAUCAUGUGUUAUUUGUAGAGCUUGUAUUGAAUCUAGCUAUUGUUAUUCGAAGUAUUAUGUGUGUUU